rnacentral:rRNA from 1 species
UAGUCCACGCCGUAAACGAUGAUUACUCGCUGUAGGCGAUACACAGUCUGUGGCUAAGCGAAAGUUUUAAGUAAUCCACCUGGGGAGUACGAUCGCAAGAUUGAAACUCAAAGGAAUUGACGGGGGCCCGCACAAGCGGAGGAACAUGUGGUUUAAUUCGAUGAUACGCGAGGAACCUUACCUAGGCUACAAUGUGAGCGCAAUCUGGUGAAAGCCGGAGUUCCUUCGGGACGCGAAACAAGGUGCUGCAUGGUUGUCGUCAGCUCGUGCCGUGAGGUGUUGGGUUAAGUCCCGCAACGAGCGCAACCCCUAUCGUUAGUUACCAUCAUUAAGUUGGGGACUCUAGCGAGACUGCCGGCGUAAGCCGCGAGGAAGGUGGGGAUGACGUCAAAUCAUCAUGGCCUUUAUGCCUAGGGCGACACACGUGCUACAAUGGUGCAUACAGAGGGUAGCGAAGCCGCGAGGUGGAGCCAAUCCCAGAAAGUGCAUCUCAGUUCGGAUUGG